CCUGAAAGUGUCAAAUAUGGAACCUAAAAAAACCUGCAUUUGCCACUGACUUUAUAAAGGUUUUUUAAGGUCUGUUUGUCAAGCGUCAAGUCAGGUUAUCUUGCUACUGAUACCAUGUAGUACAUCCUGCCUAAGCAGGUUGUACGCCAUCCAUACGACGUUUGGGCAUCAAAUCUUUUUGAGAGAGCCAUUGCUAUGGAGAACCAUCUAAACCAUACAUGUGUGGAAACAUGGAUGUAAAUCUUAAACACAUUUGUGAUAUAUAAUUGUAGAAUGUUAUAUGUUGUAAGUUUGGAAAUUAUAUUCUACUAAAAAAAAUUUUUAAAUGUAUUUUAGCAGAACAUACCUGGCCCGCAUUUGAUCCUGAAAAACUUUCUUUUCGGACCAAAUGCUGGCUGGGUAAUUUGGACUUGUAAAUGAACUUAUAUUCAUAAUUUUUAAACUGCUUAUGAUCUGAUCUGAUUUUAUUUUUGUCAUUUGUUUACUUAGAAUAAUGUAAAAUAAACUGAUGAGUUUAUUUAACUCAGCUGGUAAAAAAAAGAGUUUUCGUGAAACAAAUUUAAUGAAGACAAUUAUAGAAUAAAGUUCAUUCAUUUGCUAGCAACAUUUUUAAACGUGGUCCAGAUCAAAAAAAUUUGGUGCUAGAAAUUGUCGAUAGUGGAAGUGAUAGAUGCAUCGAACCUAAUUUGUAAU